CAGCUAAGAGGUGGGAACGGCUACCCCACGCACCGGAAACGGUAAGUAAGCCCGCAAGGGUCCAAGAGAUGAGUGUUAGCAAGCUCCUUAGUUA
rnacentral:ncRNA from 12 species